rnacentral:misc_RNA from 1 species
UUAAGUUCAGCGGGUAUCCCUACCUGAUCCGAGGUCAACCAUAGAAAAAUUUGGGUUUUGGCAGAGGCACACCGAGAACCUGUAACGAGAGAUAUUACUACGUUCAGGACCCAGCGGCACCGCCACUAAUUUUAAAGCCUGCCAUUACUGACAUAGGCUCAAUACCAAGCAGAGCUUGAGGGUUGAAAUGACGCUCGAAC